UUUAUUUAACAAAAUUAAUUAAAAUUAACCAAAAUUAACUGAAUUGGUAAUAUAUAAUGUAAUACCCGAAUUUUGCCCUGGGUCAAAAACCAAAUAAUAAAAAGAAAGCACACUUAACAGGCCAAAUGUAACAGUCCAUAUAGGCCCAAAACUACAAAACCAAGUGGCCCAAUUACAAUGUGGCCCAAAACAGUUGCAAAAACCCUAGGGUUUCUAGGGUAAACAUCAGCAAUCCGCAUUCGCGCCGCAGCCACCUAGCCCGCAUCUCCAAACUUCACCUGCAUGACAAGAAAGGAAACAAGAUCGGCAGAAUAACAAGAAAAUCGGAGCUAAAUCAGCGAGCAGAGAUUUCUUACCUUUUUCUUUUUUUCAUUAUAUGCUAUAAAAGUAAACUCAAAAUAUUGUAAAAGGGGAUUCGAAAUCAAUAAGAAAAAAUGAUUAUUUUCACAGCAAAAAGACAGAUAGUUCAAUACCGAGAGAGUAGAAAUCGAUCCAAGGUUGACAUCUAUGUUUUUUUAUUUUCUUUAAUCUACUGUUAUUAUUAUAUAUUUUUAUCUAUAUACGAAUAAAAUAAAUAGGAGAUAGAAAGGAACAGCCUUUGUUUGAACCCAGAUCGCCGUGGACGGCCGAGGUAGUCGUCUCCGAGGAUAGACGGCCUGAAACCAAAAGGUUUCUUGAUAUUUAGGGCUUUUUCAUCGGUAUUUUGAAGAUCUAGGGGUGGAUUUGAGUUUAGCGGUUUCGAAAGGUCCGGAUCUAAAAUUUUAUUUUUUUCCGGCCACCGCAUGCGGCGGUGCCGUCGCCGGUGACCGAUGGCUGGCACGGUGAUCCCUUCGCCAGAUUCAAGGCCGGUGCCCGAAGAAAAAUGGAAAAGGUUGAGAGGUUUUUGGUUUUU
rnacentral:lncRNA from 1 species